GGGAUUAUACCAUAUUUUUCGUAAUACUGAAAAAAAAACAAAAUUGACGGUAGUUAAUGGUCGAAUUGAAGCUUAAUACCUACCUACCUAAAAAAUUCAUUGCUAAAAGACUUUUAUUUUAGUAAUCUCUGGUGUAAGAUGGAUUGGUUUGAAUCGAGAACAGACGAAAUAUGCUAACCAGUGCUGCUAAAAAACGGCCGUCUUUACCGAACGUCGCGUUCAACACGCUUUCGUAAUCGUAAAUACCCUAAAUUAAAUAUGAUGGAAACUUUUAUUUCAUGCACAUAUAUAUCAGUUUGAAACAAAAUACAAUCUUUGCUUC
rnacentral:lncRNA from 1 species